rnacentral:rRNA from 1 species
UACGGGGGGGGCAAGCGUUGUUCGGAAUUACUGGGCGUAAAGGGCUCGUAGGUGGCCAACUAAGUCGGACGUGAAAUCCCUCAGCUUAACUGGGGAACUGCGUCCGAUACUGGAUGGCUUGAGUUUGGGAGAGGGUGAUGGAAUUCCCGGUGUAGCGGUGAAAUGCGUAGAGAUCGGGAGGAACAUCAGUGGCGAAGGCGGUCACCUGGCCUAAAACUGACGCUGAAGCUCGAAAGCGUGGGGAGCAAACAGG